ensembl:lncRNA
CGCGAAGCCUCGACGGCGCGGGGAGCGAUCCCGCAACGUGUCGAUCCCGCAGCGCGUCCGUCCCGCAGCCGGCACAGGCGCGUCGCGUUACGAGCGUUGGCGCUGCUAAAACGCUGCGCGUCUGCACCGUGCGGUGAGCGCGCACCGCUCGGAAAGAGCCGGAGAAAUUUUCAGCUGCAGCCCCGACGCUCGGCGCGGUACGGCACGGUUCGGCUCGGCACGGCUCGGCACGGCUCGCCACGGCCGUGUCCCACGGCCACCCCGAGGCCGGGAGGCUCUGGAGCCGCGCUGGAAGAGGAUGCGGCACGCCCAGCGAUUGUUUGCCGAGUGGCAGCGAGGUGUCGCGGGAGAGGAAGCCCACGCUCGGCUCUUGGCCGUCGGAGCUGAGCUGUGGAGGCUCCGCGGUCUCGUGGGUAGAAACAGGAUAGCCAAGAACAAAGAUAGAAAUAGGGGACGUGCGUGAAUUCGUGCCUCGGCGAGCGAGAUGGAGGAAUGGUAACCGCAGUACAACCUCCUCCAGAAUAGGGGUGUGCAAGGAGAGCUCCCCGCUCGGUGCAUCCCCUCCAACAGAGACCGGGCACCUGGGGACCUGC